ensembl:lncRNA
GACGUGGCGCCGUACGGGUCAGAGUCCGAUGAUUCCGCCACGGUGACGGUGGGGCCCAUCUUCACCAAAACUGAUGAGGAGAGCAGCCCAGCUGCCUUGCCAUACAGUGCAGAGCGUCCGUCAGAGGAGGGUAAGACGGACGUUGUUGGGGUGGUGGUGGGGGUGAUAUUCGCCACCGCCGGGGCUGUUCUCCUAGUCCUGGCCGGGUGGUUCGCCAUGAAGAAGUUCUACUGGGGCGGUGGGCUGGUCCAGGCGUUUGACUGACAGCUGGGACAGCAAUCGGCUGCCUGAUGAGAUCCGUGUGACUGCCUCUCAGUGCGCCCCCUUCAGGACUGGAGUGGAAUCUGUUUUCACCGGCCGCCACCACCGCACAGGACCUGCAUGGAUCCCUACAGCUGCUUGUACAUGACACCCCUCCCAUCUAUGGCCUCCAAGUGCAUAUCUGUUACUGUAGUAUUUUAGUGCUUUAAACUCUGCGUGUGUAAGAGACUUGAGUCCCUUGUAUC